rnacentral:rRNA from 1 species
GAUGAACGCUAGCGGCAGGCCUAAUACAUGCAAGUCGAACGGCAAGAGAGGUAGCAAUACUUUUUCCUAGAGUGACGUACGGGUGCGUAACACGUAUGCAACCUACCCUUUACAGAUGGAUAGCUCGGGGAAACUCGAAUUAACCCGUCAUAAAAUGAUUGGAUGGCAUCAUUUGAUUAUUAAAACUACGGUGGUAAAGGAUGGGCAUGCGUCUGAUUAGUUAGUUGGAG